CAGAAGUAUUUUCAAUACUAAAAUAAUGAUGGCUAAUGUCUUAAGAUUUUUUAUUGCGAUUACCAACCCUUUAGAUUAGUGUAGUAAAUCAUGUAUUGAUAACGUCAUCAAGGAGACGGAAAAUCCAGACAAUCUACAGUCAAAUUCAAAUAGACACCAGGAUAUAGAUAUUGAGGUUAAGGAGCGUGGUCUGUCUGAUACUUUCAGUAUUAGCGCCACCUCUAUCCUUGGUACCAAAAGCAGCAGAACCAAUUAAGAAAAGUAAACAAGUUGUUAAGGCCCCUUAUCUCUAUAAAAAAAAGGAGGCAUAAAACUGCUGAAGAGUAAAAAAAAAUAAUGAUGGCUAAUGUCUUAAGAUUUCUUAUUGCGAGUACCAACCCUUUAGAUUAGUGUAGUAAAUCAUGUAUUGAUAAUGUCAUCAAGGAGACGGAGAAUCCAGACAAUCUACGGUCAAAUUCAAAUAGACACCAGGAUAUAGAUGUUGAGGUUAAGGAGCGUAUUCUGUCUGAUACUUUCAGUAUUAGCGCUACCUCUAUCCUUGGUACCACCAGCAGCAGAAGCAAUUAAGAAAAGUAAACAAGUUGUUAAGGCCCCUUAUCUCUAUAAAAAAAAGGAGGCAUAAAAUUGCUGAAGAGUAAAAAAAAUAAUGAUGGCUAAUGUCUUAAUAUUUUUUAUUGCGAUUACCAACCCUUUAGAUUAGUGUAGUAAAUCAUGUAUUGAUAAUGUCAUCAAGGAGACGGAAAAUCCAGACAAUCUACAGUCAAAUUCAAAUAGACACCAGGAUAUAGAUAUU